rnacentral:rRNA from 1 species
CUGAGAGGAUGACCAGCCACACUGGAACUGAGACACGGUCCAGACUCCUACGGGAGGCAGCAGUGGGGAAUAUUGCACAAUGGGCGCAAGCCUGAUGCAGCCAUGCCGCGUGUAUGAAGAAGGCCUUCGGGUUGUAAAGUACUUUCAGCGGGGAGGAAGGGAGUAAAGUUAAUACCUUUGCUCAUUGACGUUACCCGCAGAAGAAGCACCGGCUAACUCCGUGCCAGCAGCCGCGGUAAUACGGAGGGUGCAAGCGUUAAUCGGAAUUACUGGGCGUAAAGCGCACGCAGGCGGUUUGUUAAGUCAGAUGUGAAAUCCCCGGGCUCAACCUGGGAACUGCAUCUGAUACUGGCAAGCUUGAGUCUCGUAGAGGGGGGUAGAAUUCCAGGUGUAGCGGUGAAAUGCGUAGAGAUCUGGAGGAAUACCGGUGGCGAAGGCGGCCCCCUGGACGAAGACUGACGCUCAGGUGCGAAAGCGUGGGGAGCAAACAGGAUUAGAUACCC